UGUUCCUUAACAAUUUAGGGAUUAAUGUCAUGUUCUUCUCUUUUUCCUUAUAUCAAGUGUUAGGGGAUUAAUAUCAAUGUCGAUACCUUAUGUGUAGCCACUAGCUAACCUGUCUCAUAAUAGUGCAUAUAUUAACUAACAAACUAUACAUAUUUAGGACUGUCACUGUAUUUAUCAAUUUCAAGUAACCUAUGUAGUUCCUAUCGAGUAGAGACAGAGCCAUAUGUUCAAUUAUGAGUUAC
rnacentral:lncRNA from 1 species